UACAGAGGUCUCAACCGUUGUUCGGAUUCAUUGGGCGUAAAGGGUGCGUAGGCGGUCGUGCAAGUCGGAUGUGAAAUCUCAGGGCUCAACCCCUGAAACUGCAUUCGAUACUGCGCGGCUAGAGUGCUGGAGGGGAGACUGGAAUUUACGGUGUAGCAGUGAAAUGCGUAGAUAUCAGGAGGAACACCGAUGGCGAAGGCAGUGUUCUGGGCCAGUACUGACGCUGAGGAGCGAAAGCGUGGGGAGCGAACAGG
rnacentral:rRNA from 1 species